GAUGAACGCUGGCGGCGUGCCUAAUACAUGCAAGUCGAGCGAACGGACGAGAAGCUUGCUUCUCUGAUGUUAGCGGCGGACGGGUGAGUAACACGGGGAUAACCUACCUAUAAGACUGGGAUAACUUCGGGAAACCGUAGCUAAUACCGGAUAAUAUUUUGAACCGGAUGGUUCAAAAGUGAAAGACGGUCUUGCUGUCACUUAUAGAUGGAACCGCGCUGCAUUAGCUAGUUGGUAAGGUAACGGCUUACCAAGGCAACGAUGCAUAGCCGACCUGAGAGGGUGAUCCGCCACACUGGAACUGAGACACGGUCCAGACUCCUACGGGAGGCAGCAGUAGGGAAUCUUCCGCAAUGGGCGAAAGCCUGACGGAGCAACGCCGCGUGAGUGAUGAAGGUCUUCGGAUCGUAAAACUCUGUUAUUAGGGAAGAACAUAUGUGUAAGUAACUGUGCACAUCUUGACGGUACCUAAUCAGAAAGCCACGGCUAACUACGUG
rnacentral:rRNA from 1 species